GCAGCUGCGGUUAUACAUAAUAUACAAAUAAAAUAGUUUGGUUAAUAGUUUUAAAUAUUAAAUAAAAAUUAAUUUUAAUUUUAAGGUAAAAUUUAAUUUUAAAUUAAAUUUUUAAAUAUUUUAUUUCUAUUAAAUUUUAUUUUAAACUAGGAUUAGAUACCCUAUUAUAAAAAUUUAAAAUAAUUACUAAAAAAUUAAUAGUUAUUUUCUUUAAAUUUAAAAAAUUUGGCGGUAUUUUAGUCUUAUUAGAGGAACCUGUUUUAUGAUUGAUAAUCCACGAUUGAUUUUACUUAAUUUAAAAAUUUAUAUAUCGCUGUCAUGAAUAUAUUUAAAAAUUUAAUUUCUUAAAUUAAUUUUAUAAUUUAUGUUAAGUCAAGAUGUAGUUUAUAAUUAAGAAAAUAAUGGGUUACAUUAAAUUUUAUUUAUGGAUUUUAAAUGAAAAUAAUAAUAAAAUUGGAUUUAAUAGUAAAUUUAUUUAUUUAAAUAAUAUGAAUAAAGAUCUAAAAUAUGUACAUAUUGCCCGUCAUUCUUAUUAAAAAUAAGACAAGUCGUAACAAAGUAAAUGUACUGGAAAGUGUAUUUAGAAAGAAUUUUAUUUAAA
rnacentral:rRNA from 1 species